UGGGGUUGAAACAACCUUAACCUAUUCUCAAACUUUAAAUAUGUAAGAAGCUCUUGUUGCUUAGUUGAACGUGAGCAUUAGAAUGAAGCGUUACUAGUGGGCCAUUUUUGGUAAGCAGAACUGGCGAUGCGGGAUGAACCGAACGCGAGGUUAAGGUGCCGGAAUGCACGCUCAUCAGACACCACAAAAGGUGUUAGUUCAUCUAGACAGCAGGACGGUGGCCAUGGAAGUCGGAAUCC
rnacentral:rRNA from 11 species